GGGAGCCGCAGCGGGCGCCUAUUGGUCAGGUUUCUCCCCCGCCUCCCUGUUCGCCUGACGGACUGACCCAGAGGCCUACCAGGAGCGUCCAGGGAGCCGCAGCGGGCGGUGAUUGGUAGGAGCCGCCGCGGCAAGGCGUUGGAAUUGCCUUUUCUCCAUGCAUGAAGAUAGAUGGACAACACUGGUGGGCUGCUUAUCUUAAACAACACAGGCAGAGGAGUCGCUGAAACGACAGUGCUGUGGCAUCUCUGGAGAGACAGGAACUGCUCACCAGGCCUCCCAAGACUCGUUCUCCGUGCCACCUGCUGUGGCUCCAUCCCCAAGGCAACCCUCCCCUGGGCCUGGAGUAAAUCAGGAGGACUCAGAGCCAGGAUGGGGUGUGCACAGGUGUGCUCCUCCUUCAUCACAUUCUUCCAGUGGAGUGACCACAGGCACUUUGGGGACGGCUCUAAGGAGAACUUGAGUUGGGGUGCAUUUAGCUAGGGUUUAUGGCAUAUUUUUACGUGGUUCACAGUCUUGCUGGUCUGUCCUGGGGCAGGGAUGUCCUCUACAGCUGCCAACUACCCACAACACGCCCAGCACUGGAAUUAUGCAGGAGUGAAGGAGAAACGUUUGCAGCAGGAACCAGAAGUGAGUCUGUGCAAAAUUCUUCCAAUCACACAAGACAAUUGUAAGCAGAGGACUCAGUUCCCCACGUACCUGAUAGAACCAGAGUUGUCUCCUCUGAUGAACGGAUUCCGCCAUGCAGCAUACAUGAUUUAAUACAGCAUGUACCUUUUUUCUUUUUGGAUGGGGAAUGUAUUUAUCAGAAUUCCUGUGUUUGUGGAGCAUAAACCUAUAGCAAUCCUACAAACAGUGGCACAUCUAAGUAAAGCCCCAAGUAUUACCCAAACCAAUGCCAGUAAUAACAAUCAGAUGCAAGUUUGAUCUCACAUUCAAGAGAAAAGUCUGAAUCAGAGAGAAGUCUGAAUCGUCUUUCUGUUGUUCCCGUAAAACAAUUCUGCAAGGUCGUGAUACAGGAUUCAAAGAGAACACAGCCAAAAACAGUAUACGCUUUCCCUCCAAUUGGAUACGCUUCUGGCCCCAUCAAACCUGGGGCCACCCCUGCCCCGAUCUUUGCAUCACGCGAGCACAACUCCAAGGAAAUAGAACUUCAGAUUGUUGCAGGCUGGCAAAACGAAGGCAUGAAACAGAAACUAAGUCAAUUGCAGAAAAAUUGAGACCACAUUGCCCUUGCGUCCCGUUUGCGCACGUGGCCAGGUGCAUCCCCAUCCCCAAGGUGCGACCAGGAAGCCGGGGGUGGCCCCACGGAGAGAGCCGGGGGCGCCGGUCCCUCAGGUUUGCCCAGAACCCGCGUGGUGCCCACCACUGGGGUCGGGGCUCCUGUCCCUCCGGUGCCCCCUCCUCCCCGCAGCCCCUCCCUCCUCUCGAUCCUCCC